UACGGAGGGAGGCGAGCGUUGUCCGAAGUUACUGGGCGUAAAGCGCGCGUAGGCGGGGGAUUAAGUGAGAAGUGAAAGGCUGGGGCUCAACCCCAUGCCAGUGCUUCUCAUACUGGUCCUCUUGAGGGUGGUAGAGAGAAGUGGAAUGGCUGGUGUAGCGGUGAAAUGCGUAGAUAUCAGUCGGAACACCGGUGGCGAAGGCGGCUUCUUGGGCCAUUUCGUGACGCUGAGGCGCGAAAGCUAGGGAGCGAACGGG
rnacentral:rRNA from 1 species